UACGUAGGUGGCAGGCGUUGUCCGGAUUCACUGGGCGUAAAGCGCGCGCAGGCGGUUCUUCUACGUCUGGGGUGAAAACCCGGGGCUCAACCCCGGGACUGCCUUGGAUACGGGAAGACGUUGAGGAUUCGGAGAGGCAAGGGGAAUUCCACGUGUAGCGGUGAAAAUGCGUAGAGAUGUGGAGGAACACCUGGUGGCGAAGGCGCCUUGCUGGCCGAUUUCUGACGCUGGAGGCGCGAAAGCGUGGGGAGCAAACAGG
rnacentral:rRNA from 1 species